rnacentral:rRNA from 1 species
GGUAGUCCACGCCGUAAACGAUGUCGACUUGGAGGUUGUGCCCUUGAGGCGUGGCUUCCGGAGCUAACGCGUUAAGUCGACCGCCUGGGGAGUACGGCCGCAAGGUUAAAACUCAAAUGAAUUGACGGGGGCCCGCACAAGCGGUGGAGCAUGUGGUUUAAUUCGAUGCAACGCGAAGGACCUUACCUACUCUUGACAUCCAGAGAACUUAGCAGAGAUGCUUUGGUGCCUUCGGGAACUCUGAGACAGGUGCUGCAUGGCUGUCGUCAGCUCGUGUUGUGAAAUGUUGGGUUAAGUCCCGCAACGAGCGCAACCCUUAUCCUUUGUUGCCAGCGGUUAGGCCGGGAACUCAAAGGAGACUGCCAGUGAUAAACUGGAGGAAGGUGGGGAUGACGUCAAGUCAUCAUGGCCCUUACGAGUAGGGCUACACACGUGCUACAAUGGCGCAUACAAAGAGAAGCGACCUCGCGAGAGCAAGCGGACCUCAUAAAGUGCGUCGUAGUCCGGAUUGGAGUCUGCAACUCGACUCCAUGAAGUCGGAAUCGCUAGUAAUCGUAGAUCAGAAUGCUACGGUGAAUACGUUCCCGGGCCUUGUACACACCGCCCGUCACACCAUGGGAGUGGGUUGCAAAAGAAGUAGGUAGCUUAACCUUCGGGAGGGCGCUUACCACUUUGUGAUUCAUGACUGGGGUGAAGUCGUAACAAGGUAACCGUAGGGGAACCUGC